AGUGAACGCUGGCGGUAGGCCUAACACAUGCAAGUCGAACGGCAGCACAGUAAGAGCUUGCUCUUACGGGUGGCGAGUGGCGGACGGGUGAGGAAUACAUCGGAAUCUACUUUUUCGUGGGGGAUAACGUAGGGACACAUCCGCUAAUACCGCAUACGACCUACGGGUGAAAGCAGGGGAUCUUCGGACCUUGCGUGAUUGAAUGAGACGAUGUCGCAUUAGCUAGUUGGCGGGGUAAAGGCCCACCAAGGCGACGAUCCGUAGCUGGUCUGAGAUGAUGAUCAGCCACACUGGAACUGAGACACGGUCCAGACUCCUACGGGAGGCAGCAGUGGGGAAUAUUGGACAAUGGGCGCAAGCCUGACCCAGCCAUGCCGCGUGGGUGAAGAAGGCCUUCGGGUUGUAAAGCCCUUUUGUUGGGAAAGAAAAGCAGCAUGUGAAUACCCCGCUGUUCUGACGGUACCCAAAGAAUAAGCACCGGCUAACUUCGUG
rnacentral:rRNA from 1 species